rnacentral:rRNA from 1 species
AGUGAACGCUGGCGGCAUGCCUUACACAUGCAAGUCGAACGGUAACAGGUCUUCGGAUGCUGACGAGUGGCGAACGGGUGAGUAAUACAUCGGAACGUGCCUAGUAGUGGGGGAUAACUACUCGAAAGAGUGGCUAAUACCGCAUGAGAUCUACGGAUGAAAGCAGGGGAUCGCAAGACCUUGUGCUACUAGAGCGGCCGAUGGCAGAUUAGGUAGUUGGUGGGAUAAAAGCUUACCAAGCCGACGAUCUGUAGCUGGUCUGAGAGGACGAUCGGCCACACUGGGGCUGGGAAACGGCCCGGACUCCUACGGGAGGCAGCAGUGGGGAAUUUUGGACAAUGGGCGCAAGCCUGAUCCAGCAAUGCCGCGUGCAGGAUGAAGGCCUUCGGGUUGUAAACUGCUUUUGUACGGAACGAAAAGCCCCGGGUUAAUACCCUGGGGUCAUGACGGUACCGUAAGAAUAAGCACCGGCUAACUACGUGCCAGCCGCCGCCGUAA